GACGGUGCCCGUUCGAGAAUGAAAAGAAGGGAUGAAUCUCUCGCAUCUCCUAUCCAAGAUGUACUCAAUACGACGGUGUACCUAUCCAAGAUGAAUCUCUCGCAUCUCCUUAUCUCCACCUGACCGGCUGCUAGGGUUCCGCCGCCGCCGCGAAAGCCACCUCCGCUAGACAAAAAGCAGUUCAAUCCCCAGCCUCUCCCCACGGCCAUCAGGAGGAAGCCGAGCAGAGCAGGGUGUCUCCAGCAGGAGAGGCGCUGGUUCCGCCAGAUCGGUUGGCCGCGCUCUGUGGGGAUGGCCCGAUGGGGAAGAUGGAGAGACGACGAGUUUAGGAGGCGCAUCGCAGGGCCUUGACCCUCUCUUCUCUGUAGCACAGGGUGAGGCGGAGAGCCCAACCCUCUGCUCGAGGCCUCGGCACCCCUCUCCUCUUCCACCGUCGCUCUGAUAGGUCGAUUUCCGCAGCGCCGCAACAUAGUACAGAGGUUCUGCACCCGGUAUCCCCUUGUUUUUCAUGCUCAAAUUAAAUUGUAUAAAUGCUCAGGGGAGGACAUUUAUGUUUGAGAGAGAGGGAUGGAAAAGUGGGGAUGGAUUAAGACAAGAGGAAGGAACGCUUAUCCUGCAGUUGGAGCACCGUCUUCUAUGCUUCUGCUCACAGUCCCAACAUCCUCAUGGCAGGUCCAAAUCCCUGAGGUUUAUGACCUUGAUUUUGCCAUAGAGGUAGUAGAAGCAGAUAUAGUGCAAGAAGCCGACGCACUCAUAAUGUACACCCAUCACCUGAGGAAAGAGAGAAGGUAAUCACGCUGAUUGCCUGAGAUGUUGAAGUGUCGUGCCUCUGUGUGCUAUGUUGUCGAGUACUUUCAUGUGCAGUACACAUGACAACUUGAAGAAAUACAUCCACCAAGAUGAUGCAUGAUACCCUCCCAGUCAAGCUUGGAGAUGGAACCGAGGGUUAUGCCAGUGGCUUCAUGCUUGGAACCGACAAGUGGGCCAGCAUCAUGAUGAACUGGUCAUGGUUUCACAACCACACAAACAUCCAGGAAGGUGUCAUAUGUGCCUUCCACUUCAAGCGCAAGGCAAGGUGUCACGUCUCUCACUGUGCAUCGUCUCUAGGUGCACCACCGUCAACUACAGCUAUGGCCUAUACAUAUGAUCCGUGUAUCGACUCUGCCUCUCUUUGGGAGGUCGCCCGUCUUUUGGAGGAUGUUAGACUUUAAUUUCAACCGAUUGUCGUGCUCUGUGAUCAUUCCUCCACCUUCUAAGGUUGUCACCUAUUAGUGAAUACUAUGUUUCUGUAGUUUUAUUUCGUGUAUUAUAUUUUUUAAAGUUGGUACUCA